rnacentral:rRNA from 1 species
CUGCAGUCGAGCGCUGAUUACGGGGUAGCAAUAUUCCGUAGUUGGAGCGGCGCAAGGGUGCGUAACACGUGGGUAAUCUGCCAUGAAGUUUGGGAUAACUUGCUGAAAGGCGAGCUAAUACCGGAUGUGAAAGUUGGGAGGCAUCUUCUGAUUUUCAAAGCUGGGGACCGUAAGGCCUGGCGCUUCAUGAUGAGCCCGCGGCCUAUCAGCUAGUUGGUAAGGUAACGGCUUACCAAGGCUAAGACGGGUAGCUGGUCUGAGAGGACGACCAGCCACACUGGAACUGAGACACGGUCCAGACACCUACGGGUGGCAGCAGUCGAGAAUUUUUCACAAUGGGCGCAAGCCUGAUGGAGCGACGCCGCGUGGGGGAUGAAUGGCUUCGGCCCGUAAACCCCUGUCAUUUGCGAUCAACCGUUGUUGUUUAAGAGAUGACAACCUGAUAGUAGCGAAAGAGGAAGGGACGGCUAACUCUGUGCCAGCAGCCGCGGUAAUACAGAGGUCCCAAGCGUUGUUCGGAUUCACUGGGCGUAAAGGGUGCGUAGGUGGCGGAGUAAGUCGGAUGUGAAAUCUCCGAGCUCAACUCGGAAAUGGCAUUGGAAACUGCUCUGCUCGAGGGUUGGAGGGGGGACUGGAAUACUUGGUGUAGCAGUGAAAUGCGUAGAUAUCAAGUGGAACACCAGUGGCGAAGGCGAGUCCCUGGACAACUCCUGACACUGAGGCACGAAAGCUAGGGGAGCAAACAGGAUUAGAUACCCUGGUAGUCCUAGCCGUAAACGGUGCAUGUUUGCUGUAAAAGGAAUCGACCCCUUUUGUGGCGUAGCCAACGCGUUAAACAUGCCGCCUGGGAAGUACGGUCGCAAGAUUAAAACUCAAAGAAAUUGACGGGGGCCUGCACAAGCGGUGGAGUAUGUGGCUCAAUUCGAUGCAACGCGAAGAACCUUACCUGGCCUUGACAUGUAUGUAGUAGAACGGUGAAAGCCUGACGAGGUAGCCAUACCAGCAUACACAGGGUGCUGCAUGGCUGUCGUCAGCUCGUGUCGUGAAGAUGUUGGUUAAGUCCCCGCAAACGAGCGC